AAGGAAUAUUGCGCAAUGGGCGAAAGCCUGACGCAGCAACGCCGCGUGAGGGACGAAGGCCUUCGGGUCGUAAACCUCUUUUCUGGGGAAAGAGCAAGGACGGUACCUCAGGAAUAAGUCUCGGCUAACUACGUGCCAUCAGCCGCGGUAAAACGUAGGAGGCGAGCGUUAUCCGGAUUUACUGGGCGUAAAGCGCGCGCAGGCGGUUUCGUGAGUCGGACAUGAAAGCUCCUGGCUUAACUGGGAGAGGCUGUUCGAUACUGCGGGACUUGAGGUUGGGAGAGGGGUGUGGAAUUCCCGGUGUAGUGGUGGAAUGCGUAGAUAUCGGGAGGAACACCUGUGGCGAAAGCGGCACCCUGGCCCACACCUGACGCUGAGGUGCGAAAGCGUGGGGAGCAAAC
rnacentral:rRNA from 1 species